GUCGUAUUUCACAAGGUCACAAUUAAAGUGUUUGAGACUUUUUUAUAGUUUAGAGAUUUUAUUUGCUGUUUCCACUGGAUUGUCCAGAUUUUUAUUUCAAGAAUUGUGUACAUUUUAACAGAAAUAAUGAAACCUAGAAAAUGCCUUCCCCCCACCCCAUGUACACACUUUAAAAGCUGGCCUUAAUAAUUUAAUUUGCAUGAUGUGGUAAGCCUCAGUGAAGGUUGUGAGCUUGAAGGGCGGCCCUAG
rnacentral:lncRNA from 1 species